rnacentral:rRNA from 1 species
AACGAACGCUGGCGGCAGGCCUAACACAUGCAAGUCGAGCGGACCCUUCGGGGUUAGCGGCGGACGGGUGAGUAACGCGUGGGAAUAUGCCCUUCUCUACGGAAUAGUCCUGGGAAACUGGGGGUAAUACCGUAUACGCCCUUUGGGGGUAAGAUUUAUUGGGGAAGGAUUAGCCCGCGUUGGAUUAGGUAGUUGGUGGGGUAAUGGCCUACCAAGCCGACGAUCCAUAGCUGGUUGGAGAGGAUGAUCCGCUACACUGGAACUGAGACACGGCCCACUAUCCGACGGAAGGGAGCAGUAGGGAAUCUUAUACAAGGGAGGCUAAUGUAGUCUAGCCAUGUGGGGGAAGUGAUGAAGGCGGUAGGGUUGUAAAGCUCUUUGAGCUGAGAAGAUAAUGACGGUACCGGCAAAAGAAGCCCCGGCUAACUCCGUG